GAUCAUGGCUCAGGAUGAACGCUAGCUACAGGCUUAACACAUGCAAGUCGAGGGGCAGCAUGGUCUUAGCUUGCUAAGGCCGAUGGCGACCGGCGCACGGGUGAGUAACACGUAUCCAACCUGCCGUCUACUCUUGGACGAAAAAAAAAAAAAAAAAAAAAAAAAAAAAAACCUUCUGAAAGGAAGAUUAAUACAAGAUGGCAUCAUGAGUCCGCAUGUUCACAUGAUUAAAGGUAUUCCGGUGGACGAUGGGG
rnacentral:rRNA from 1 species